GAUGAACGCUGGCGGCGUGCCUAAUACAUGCAAGUCGAGCGAACAGACGAGGAGCUUGCUCCUCUGACGUUAGCGGCGGACGGGUGAGUAACACGUGGAUAACCUACCUAAGACUGGGAUAACUUCGGGAAACCGGAGCUAAUACCGGAUAAUAUAUUGAACCGCAUGGUUCAAUAGUGAAAGACGGUUUUGCUGUCACUUAUAGAUGGAUCCGCGCCGCAUUAGCUAGUUGGUAAGGUAACGGCUUACCAAGGCAACGAUGCGUAGCCGACCUGAGAGGGUGAUCGGCCACACUGGAACUGAGACACGGUCCAGACUCCUACGGGAGGCAGCAGCAGGGAAUCUUCCGCAAUGGGCGAAAGCUUGACGGAGCAACGCCGCGUGAGUGAUGAAGGUCUUCGGAUCGUAAAACUCUGUUAUUAGGGAAGAACAAAUGUGUAAGUAACUAUGCACGUCUUGACGGUACCUAAUCAGAAAGCCACGGCUAACUACGUG
rnacentral:rRNA from 1 species